UACAGAGGUCUCCAGCGUUGUUCGGAUUCAUUGGGCGUAAAGGGUGCGUUGGUGGCGCCGUAAGUCAGGUGUGAAAUUUCGGAGCUUAACUCCGAAACUGCAUUUGAUACUGCGGUGCUUGAGGACUGGAGAGGAGACUGGAAUUCACGGUGUAGCAGUGAAAUGCGUAGAUAUCGUGAGGAAGACCAGUGGCGAAGGCGGGUCUCUGGACAGUUCCUGACACUGAGGCACGAAGGCCAGGGGAGCAAACAGG
rnacentral:rRNA from 1 species